rnacentral:lncRNA from 1 species
CGACACUGUUCUAAAUUUGUUCCCAGGUAAACGUGCAGAGGCUUGCAAUUUCUGAGUUGUUCUCAUGUAAUCGUGUUUUGUAAAAUGAUCAUAAACAAACUUGAAAACACAGAGCUCUACAUUCAGUACAAAGCAAAGAGGUAUGGGACCUUUGAGAGCUCUUUGGGCUUCUUGGUUUGAGUAUUUGUGUGGAACCAGGGCUUGGGGUGAGUCACUUGCUUCUUUUCUGCUAAAAAAGCCAAUUGCAACUUUAUCAAAAUCUGCAAUUUUCAGUGGAUUCAGGCUGAAUGAAUGACCGCUAGUAUUCACUAGUCAGUUUUGUUUGCUUUUUUGCUAGUGAAAAUCACAGUACAAGCUGUCAAUAAGAAUAAUAUGAAUGGAUGGGCGUUAUAUUAAAAAUGACAAUUGACCAGCAAGAUUCUUUACAAAAUGAAAGAGUUUGAAGUGGACAUUUAAAAUUAUAGCACAGAGGUGACUGGGAUUUAUAUGAAGCUUAAUUAUUUUUAGCUACUGCAUUUUGAAAUUAAGAUAUUUGGCACUACGGUUUGUCUCUAAAGCAGAAAACGGAUGUGUUUUACAUUUCUUUGAACAAGAAAUUCAUGACACACUAUGUGAAACCACGAAUGAACCCUGGAAUGAGACAUAUUCCCCUAAGGAAGACUUGUUGUGUCUGAAUAGGUUAGUUCCACUGUGUUAGCUUUAAAAGUGUGAUUUUUACCUGGUACUAUAUAGGAUAUUUACUUGAAAGGAUAUUUUAACCCUCUUGUGGCCAGGCAGACUUGUAUAUACGCCCUCUCUAAAGCACUAUAAUAUAGGAGCAAACCUAGUUAUAAAAUGAGGCAAAAUAGUAAUAAUUUGGGAGAACAAAUAAGGAGGAUUCCCCUUCAUGUGACACUUUAAAAAUAAUUCACCAACAGCAGUAUGUUUCAUUUUUUAUUUACUUAUCUCUCCAUGUAGCUUGUACCAUGUGGAACAAACCUUAAGAAUGGGUAGGAUCUGUAAAUUAGCUAGCUGUCAGAACCCUGCACCCCUGCUUUCUGUGCUAUAUUUUCAGAGAGUUAAUGGAGCAUAAGUUGCUAAAAGUGUGAAAUGGGAAGUUCCUGAUUCAAAUAUCACCUCAAGCAGCCAUCCAGUUGCCUUAAGCAAUCCAUUGUUCUGCCUGCCUUUGCUCCCCAUUUCAGGUAUGAGAAUAGCAAUACUGGAUUGUUAUAGGACUGUUGUAAGACCUACGGUGGUAAUAAGUGUGGCACACCAGAAAUGCGCUGUGUAACUGCUAACUCUUGUCUUCAGACAGCAUACCCCCCAAAACCCUGCAUAUUCCAUCAAUAUAAGCUUGUCCUCUGCCCUGAUCCUGAUUUUAUUCCCAAGGUGAAAUCUGUGUCCAGAGUUCUAUGCUCAGGUGGUUUUGCCUUCCCUCUGAGCUCCUCCUCCUUGUUCUCAAGAACAUGUAUGACAUUCACUGGGUGUCAGUCGUGCCCUGCGGUUUUAUUUGGAUCCAACAGUGAAAUUUAGGAAAUCAGAGUCCCUCCUUGCGGCGUUUUUGGGGGCUUCCAAAGGUAUAAAUGUGUCCACAGCCAUGAUUUCUUGAUGUGCAAGUCUGCUCCCUCUGGAAUGACUGCUCACUCUUUCAGGGAAGCGGCUGCCACAGCUGCUUACAGGUGUAGUUUUCCUAUCAUAGAUAUUUGCUGGGCAUCCACUUGGGCCUCGCCACACACUUUUGUAAAACACUGCAGAAUAGAUUUACUUUCAUCAGCUGAUGGAGCCUUUGGCAGAAAGCUUCUCCAGAGGGUUUCUGCUGCAGUAAGUAAAGGCAGAGGAAACCCAAGCAGGUCUGAAGGAGGCUCCUCUGAUAUAUAUCUAUGAGGAAUGUCUUCUGUCCCUAUCUGGCAAAAAUGGAAAUGGUACUUAAUGAGAAUUUCCAUUUGAAGAUAGGGACAGAGGGCACUGCUCCUUUCUCUGUGUUUUCCCCUGGAGUGAGAUUGCUGAUGUAGGACUUCUGCUGCUGUCUUACAUAUUGCACACAUUAUUUGAGUACUGGUGUAUGCCCAGUUUUGUUAUGUCUAAGACCAGGUCUCCUUCUUUGCUAUUUCUCUGGUUUGAAGUUGUUGGCAGCCGGGUUCUGCAGACAUUGGAUUUGGGGUCGAGGAGUUGUCUUCAUUCUUGCCAGUCAGUCUGGAGGGCAGGAGCUGAACAGUUCUGAAGAUCCUGCCCCUCAUAGCCAGUGGGAGGAAUCAUUCUUACUAGGAAUGUCCUCCACCCCUAUUUUCAAAUAAAUUCCCAAUUCCCCCCUCAAUCAUAUGUUUCUGUUUCCUUAAGAACGGAUUUAAAAUAUUUUCUUCUUCCUAUUAACGGAUUGUAUAUAUAGAUCAGGAAGCAGAAAAAAGCAGAAUUUGUAUUUUGAACAAGAUAUACAGUGGUACCUCUGGAUGCGAAAGGGAUCAGUUCCGGAGCCCCGUUCGCAUCCUGAAGUGAAUGCAACCCGCGUCUGCGCAUGCAUGAGUCGCUGCUUCCGCACAUGCGCGUGACGUCAUUUUGAGCAUUUGCGCAUGCGCGAGUGGCGAAACCCGGAAGUAAUGCGCUCCGUUACUUCCGAGUCGCCGCGGAGCGCAACCCAAAAAUAUUCAUCCCGAAGCUACUUCAACCCGAGGUAUGACUGUAGUCCAUUCUCUCUCUCUCUCUCUCUCUCUCUCUCUCUCUCUCUCUCUCCAAUCUUUCACUAUGAUACCUGGGAACUGUCCAUAGGCUUUAGGAAGUUACACAAGGGCUUUGUGUACCUUCCUUUUUAAAGUGUGUGUACAUUUUGUUUUUACCGCCGCAGACCUCUUCAUUAUGAAGUGCAUCAAUUCUUACACGUUAUAGACUAAGAAACAGAAAUCUCAGCAGAUACUAUACAGACAGCUUCCUGUUUGCACUCAACUGCUCACACGGACAGUGCCAGGAACCUGGAAGUGGAACCCGGAAGUGGGGGGCACCCUGUAGAAUCCUGGCUCAUGAGGAGACCCUCCCCGGAGCCCAAAGAGGAUGUCCUCUUCAGGCUCCGGGGAGGGUCUCCUCAUAAGCUGGAGGUGGAGUGGGGCUUUGUUGAGUGUGCUCAGCCUCCCCGCCUAACAGCUGACAUGCAGGGUAGUGCAGCCGCUGAUGCCGUGUCCUUGCAUGUCAGCUGAGCAAGCCUCACGUGAGCCGGAGGGGCGGAGGGGCCUUGUUGAGCUGCGCAGCUGACGGGCGGGGAAGCCUGCAUCAUAGAAUUGUAGAGUUGGAAGGGAUUUUGAGGAUCAUCCAGCCCAACCCCCAGUAAUGUCAUAUGAGCACCGUCUCCCAGAAAGUACUCCUGUACAAAUAUCAUCAAAAUGAACAGGACACCUGGGAACCUUCUGUUCAGCUGGCCUGGGAGUACUCACUGGUAGAUACUGACCCAUAAUUUGUUUGCAAGUAAAUCCUGAAAGGGAAUUCAGCCUCUUUCUUUCCUUUCGAAAAUGACCGUAUUUGUUGUCUUGCUGUCAACAUUUUACAUGAUUUCACAUUCCAGGGUUACUCUGCCCAUCUGUAGUUGGCAGGGGAAGAACUGAGCAGGCUGAACUGUUGUGCUUUGCUUUUCUGUGACAUAUGGAAAGAAUGUAAAGUUGUUGUUGUUGUUGUUGCAGGCCUCAGACAAAGCAACACAAAAAUGUACAUUGAGCUUUCAAACAGGCUUCACGCUACUACCUUAACAGAUUAGAGAACUGGGCAAAAACAAACAAGAUGAAUUUUAAUAGGGAGAAAUGUAAAGUAUUGCACUUGGGCAAAAAAAAUGAGAGGCACAAAUACAAGAUGGGGGACACCUGGCUUGAGAGCAGUACAUGUGAAAAGGAUCUAGGAGUCUUGGUUGACCACAAACUUGACAUGAGCCAACAGUGUGACGCGGCAGCUAAAAAAGCCAAUGCAAUUCUGGGCUGCAUCAAUAGGAGUAUAGCAUCUAGAUCAAGGGAAGUAAUAGUGCCACUGUAUUCUGCUCUGGUCAGACCUCACCUGGAGUACUGUGUCCAGUUCUGGGCACCACAGUUCAAGAAGGACACUGACAAACUGGAACGUGUCCAGAGGAGGGCAACCAAAAUGGUCAAAGGCCUGGAAACGAUGCCUUAUGAGGAACGGCUAAGGGAGCUGGGCAUGUUUAGCCUGGAGAAGAGGAGGUUAAGGGGGUGAUAUGAUAGCCAUGUUCAAAUAUAUAAAAGGAUGCCACAUAGAGGAGGGAGAAAGGUUGUUUUCUGCUGCUCCAGAGAAGCGGACACGGAGCAAUGGAUCCAAACUACAAGAAAGAAGAUUCCACCUCAACAUUAGGAAGAACUUCCUGACAGUAAGAGCUGUUCGACAGUGGAAUUUGCUGCCAAGGAGUGUGGUGGAGUCUCCUUCUUUGGAGGUCUUUAAGCAGAGGCUUGACAACCAUAUGUCAGGAGUGCUCUGAUGGUGUUUCCUGCUUGGCAGGGGGUUGGACUCGAUGGCCCUUGUGGUCUCUUCCAACUCUAGGAUUCUAUGAUUCUACUACACACUAUGUGCAUUGUGUCUGUCUCCAUUUCUUAUUCUUUCUCAUUCCUUCCAGUCUUUAGGAGGAACUGCAGUUGAAGGACUGAGUUGAAAUUACGAAAGAAAGUGAUGAGUCAUGCUGCUUUUCCCAAUAGCUUCUAAAUCUGAAGACCCGACUACAUCAUGGCUUCUGCCUUGCUAUAUCCGUGGGAAGGGGAGGGGGUACAAAAUUAUACUAGUAUGUUAGCCUGAUGUUCCCAGUUUCCAACUUGUGUGUGUGUGAUUACCUAAUAUUCCUUCCCAGCUGUUUCUUAACAUUACUCAUACUAAAGCAACUAUCUUCUCACUUUCCUCACUAAACAUAGUUUCCCUUCGUGGGCUGUUUAGAAUGCUUUUUUUGUGUCUGUGCACUAUAGUUGCCUCAAACUGGCACUGAUUUAGGUAAUAAUAGUUACAAGCUCAACAAAUAUGUAAUCAAAAUAACCUUGCUCAUGCUAAGCUUUAUUCACCCAUUUCCACAAAAGCGGAAAGAAAAGAAAAAGGCAGGCUGCCACAAGUCUUAUUUUAUCUUACCAGGCAAGUGUUUAUCGGGCUGCCCGGGAAAGUGCAUGGACGGAGAGGCAUGAUUCAAAUGCACAAAUGGUGGAGCUGUGGAACCUUAGAGUUGGGAGGGACCCAGGGGUCAUCUAGUCCAACCCCCUGCAAUGCAGGAAUCUACGCAGGAAUUUCCAUGGAAUUUUGGAAAUAAUCAGCCAAAUGGUUGGCUGUGAUGUGAGGUCUUAAAACAUGGGUUGCCAAUCUUUCUGAGCCAAUAGGCACAUUUGGAGAAGGCGCCGUGGCCGCCAGUCGUUAAAUGGCUGCCAUGGAGGUGGCACAAAAUGACUAACACAAAAUGACAAGGCCACAAAAUGGUUUGGGCAUGCCGCCCCCCUCCCUCAAUGAAGAAAAGGUGCACUAGCUACUAGUUCAGAAUGGAUGCGGGGGGGUGGUGAGUGUCCAGUCCUAGCAGCCAACGAAAUGUGCUGUGUUCAAUGAAGGAGAAGGCUGAGCCACUACAAACAAACUGAGCGGUCUAUUGUGAAUUGUGAAUUUCUGAGGAGAUAUCUACUGAGACCUUUCAUGGGGGAAGCUGGGUGCUGCUGGCCAGCACAGCGGUGUCUGUGGGCGCUGCAUCAACUUUUUAAAGCUCUUGAGAAGGCAUGACUAUUGAAACACAUUCAGCGAUAUGACUGUAUCAAGACACAGUGAUAUGUUUGCGUGCACAUUCAAACCUAUGUGGGCUUGAUUGUCAAGGAACAAUCUGCUGAGCUGAGCGUUUCCAUUGCUCUUCCAUGGAACGUGGUCUUGGAGCAGAAAGUGACCUAAUGUGGACAGUCGGAGCUUGAAGAUAAUGGGUCACUUCUACUGCUGUUCUCUGGCAGCUACGAUUCAGUGCUAUAUUGCCUCUAAUCCUGGGGGUGGAAUUUAGCCAUGGUCAUUAAUAGCCAUUGGUAACCCCAUCAUCCUUGAGUAUGUAUAAUCCUCUUUGAACUCUUGUGACUAAUAGCCUUUACUGUGUGGUAGUGAGUGCCAUAUAUUAAUUAGGUGUUCUGUGUAUUUUCUUUUGUCUGUCCUAAAAUUGGCUCUUAAUCAGUUUUACUGGGUGACCUCCACUCUGGCAUCACGAGAAAGGGAGAAAAAAACAACUUAUCACUACCCACUUCUUCCACACCUUGCACAAUUCCACAAACAUCUUUUUGAUGCUCUUUUUUCUGAACUGAACAUUCUUAAAUGUUGGACGUCUUUCUUUGUAGGGAAUGCCUCCUGGUUCCUUGAUCCUUUUGACUGCACCUUUUCCAGCUCUGUGAUAUCCUUUCUGAGGUGGGAAGAUGGUGACCCAUGUUAUUCCAAGUGUGGACACGUCAGGCAUUUGUGUAAAGUUAAAGGCAGUUUUAUUUCCAGCCCCUUCCCUAAGAAUCCCUAGCAAGUUAUUUGCCCUUUUCACAGCUGCCGCACGCUGGGUCAACAUUUCUCUUGAAGUAUCUGCCAUGGCAACCGAGAAAGCUUCCCUUAUACCACGUCAGCCCGGCCUUUGGCACACCUUGUUUACUAUUGUCACUGCAAAAAGGUUGCAAAUGACUUUGAGUAAUGUGUGUUGUUCUAGGGUCACUGUCAUCUCAAAAAGAGGAUGGUUUUUAACAGUUUAAAAUCCAUCAAUAGCAGAAGCGGAACUCUUAACCACGGCCAAAGCACAGCACUGUCCACAACUUUGCUCCUACUGCCAUCUCUAUCUACAGAGACAUGGUGGUAGCAGCGCUAGCGGAAUUGUGGGCAAUAUAUAUCUGUGUGUCACCCCUGACACUAGAGUAAAUGUUACGUCAGGCCUCUCCCCCAAGAUGCAUGCUCCUUGCAUGCUUCCAGGUGUUGAUUAUUUAUCAGCACCCAAAAGUGGCUGUUCUGCUUUAAAAUGGAACGAAACCCGUUUCCAAAUUCCCAGCUGUCUGUAACCAAGCAGACAGUCCCCAUUUCCCUAACUCCAAAUGCUGGGUGGCAGCAGGGGGUGGGGGCUGUGUGUGUGACUGAGACCUGUGUGUGUGAUAAGGGUCAGAUAUUCCCUCCCCCCUGCACUGCACUCCUGAUCGUGAUUCCUCCCCCAACUCUCGUGGCACUGCAAUUCAGGAAGAAAAGAGAAAGAAACAGAUAUGAAGGUGCUGGUAUUUAAAAAGAGAAGGGUUGAUUCCCUCAGAGGAGAGGGAAAACAAAUGGCUAUAGCAGCCUCAGAAAUAGUCUGUGUGCCAGAGUCAGCUGAGCAGCAACACAAGAAGUCACCUGCACCUGGAGAAAUUGCACAGCCAAUUCCUUUGAUAAUUUAAAAAGUUGUAUUUUCGGAGCUCUUAAACAUAAAACUCAACACACACACACACACACACAAAAUGAGAGGGGGAUGUUUCGUUCAUGACAUUGUGGAGCUGCCUUUUCAAAAGUAAGUGAAAAAAGCAGGGCAACACCACAGUAAAUGCUCAGUGUGCAAGAGGCCAUGUUUACGUGCGCUUAGCGUUAAGCGAUUUGGUUUGUAGUUUCCCAGGUUGCUAAAAACAAACCCAAAAACUGCGUUCGAUGGACUGCUCUUCAAGCAUGUGGUGUGGAGGCCAGUUUUAGGGACAGCUUGCAAAGUUUGGUUAGCUUAGCAAUUUCAUGCAAAAUUGGUACAGAGCGCCUUAUUUUGGUACACUUGACACUGUGAAAUCUAAGGGCCAUUUGUCACAAGAUGCAGGGGCAAACCUGGGAUUGGUACAACGUGGGCACUCAAAGCAGGAGCUGUAGCCCUGCUCAUUAUUGUAUGACACAAGCAUUUAUUGCACAUUUACACUUUAUAUCUUUUCAUAGUAUGCACAAAGCUUCUUAGACAUAUAUCUAAAAAGGUAAUGUACAAAACGGCGCUAUCAGCCAAAGCAGCUUCUAAGGGCUGAGCACUCCGUAAUACAUAAUGCUCAUGGAAAGAAAACAUUGCAAUAUAUUAUUAUAUCACAGGGGAACCUUUAGUAUGAUAAAUAUUUCAUCAGGAUAGUAGGCCAAGGAUUCUUGGACUCAUAUGCAGUCUUUCCUAGAGCACAUGGAAAAACUACCUUUUUGAGUCUUUAAAAGCGUGAGCUCCCAUUGGACAGAAACAAAGAGCGGAAUAAUAAAUUGAUAACUUUGCAGUGGGGUCUCCGUUGUGCAUAAGAUGUUAAAGUGGCCUUCCAGAGAAAGCUGUGGGAGCCAGUGAACGCUCCAAGGCUCAGGGAAAGGAGUGAAAAGAAUUGAACAGAAUGCAUUCUGCUGAAGUAAAAAGUGACAAUUUGAAAAAGGGAAUGCUGUUCUGAAGGGGGAUGAAUCAAUGCUUGCUCUGAGUCACCCUCAAAUCCAUAGCUGCCCCUUCGUGCAAUGCUUGAGAUCACACCCUUGUACUCUCUGUUAAUCAAGCUGGAUUAAUCAUAUCUUCUUGGUUUUGCAUUUAUGAUUAAUAACAAUUUGUUAUAAUUUCCAACCAUACCUUAUUAAUAUCAGCUAAAGGCAUUAUUAUUUACUAGAAUAAAGACAUUUCAGUAAAAUGCCUAGCAUAUGUUUUGGUAGAGAGGACAUUUCAUACCUGGGAGCUGAACAACUUUGUUGUGUAACGAUGUACUGUACUAUUUCUGCUUAUCACUGUGAAAUAAAGGAGUUUUGCAAUAAAAAGUUUUUGGUUCUUAACAUAACAUUUAAGAUAAAUGGUUAAUAAAAGACCCAUGGUUGAUAGAGAGGAAGCAAAACCAAACAAGUACCAGAAAUAUAUAUUUUAAAAGCUCUUGCAAUACUUUUAUAUCUAACAGCAUUAAAGUUUAUGCUUAUAGGCUGCUUGAUGCAGCUGUCACGUUGGGUUUCACUUGGCCCUCCGGCAGCCCUCCUCAUUUGUCUGAGAGCAAAGCAUUCAAGCUGUCUGUCACAGCAGUGUGAUCUUUUGAUCCAAUGGGAAAGCAGAGUUUCUGCCAUAUUCAGGAAAGAUCCGUCACAUGAUCUUCAACAAAGCAACUGUGUCAUGCGCUGGUAAAUUCUGCCCAUUGCAAAUACGUAAGGGUGUCCUAUAAAUUAUGAUGCCAGGUUCCUGCAAAUAAAACCCCUGUUUCUUCCAUAGUGUUUCAUAGAAAGCUUAAAAUGCAAACAACAGCAAAAUGCUGCUGAUCAUGUUAAAAAAACAUUUAAAGCUGAUUCAGCAAAAAAUAGUAUUUUGGGUACACUGGACUCCACAGCAUCUUUACAAGAAGCUAUUGUUUUCUGAUUCAGGUAGAUGCUGGAAGUGUAAUGCUGGGGUACAUGAUGUGGGCUUGUCGAGUGAUAGCAUCUUUUUGCUUGGAAGUUGUCUAUAUUGUUGCACGGACCCCACUUUCCGAGCAGUGAGAGACUCCAGGGAUGCCUGUGAUUCUUGUGAAUAAUUAUAUUUGUAUACCACCCUUCAUCCGAAGGUCACAGGGUGGUUCGCAGCAU